GAGUUUGAUCCUGGCUCAGAUUGAACGCUGGCGGCAGGCCUAACACAUGCAAGUCGAACGGUAACAGGAAGAAGCUUGCUUCUUUGCUGACGAGUGGCGGACGGGUGAGUAAUGUCUGGGAAACUGCCUGAUGGAGGGGGAUAACUACUGGAAACGGUAGCUAACACCGCAUAACGUCGCAAGACCAAAGGGGGGGACCUUCGGGCCUCUUGCCAUCGGAUGUGCCCAGAUGGGAUUAGCUUGUUGGUGGGGUAACGGCUCACCAAGGCGACGAUCUCUAGCUGGUCUGAGAGGAUGACCAGCCACACUGGAACUGAGACACGGUCCGGACUCCUACGGGAGGCAGCAGUGGGGAAUAUUGCACAAUGGGCGCAAGCCUGAUGCAGCCAUGCCGCGUGUAUGAAGAAGGCCUUCGGGUUGUAAAGUACUUUCAGCGGGGAGGAAGGGAGUAAAGUUAAUACCUUUGCUCAUUGACGUUACCCGCAGAAGAAGCACCGGCUAACUCCGUGCCAGCAGCCGCGGUAAUACGG
rnacentral:rRNA from 1 species